CCCAAACCACCCCAAGCACCCAUCAAUCCCUAGUAGGCAUAGUAACAAUACCAAAUCCAAUUUAUUGAUCAAAAUGCAGGAAUGUAAUAGGAUUCGAAUCCUUACACCAAGCUAUAAUGAUUUCUCCUGACAAACCAAUAGCUGGUAUCAUGUACACCUCCCAUUUUGGUCCCAUUAGUCUCCUAACAUGAGGCAAAGCAUCCUCAGACAACUUGGUUUCAAAAAAACAAACUAUGAACGAAUCAUGUUCUCAAAUUAACAAUUUAGAAUAAUUGACAAAAAAAGUUUUAGUUACCCAACGGUAGUUCUAGACCAAGAUCCUCAUGAUUGGGAAGAAAAAGAAGGUAGAACCAGUCCAUCCUCAAAGGAACUCCCUCUAACCACAACCAACCCCUCAUCUAGAUUAACACUAGGAGUGUGAGGUUAGGCAGGCACUUCCACAGCUAUAAUACCUUAUAGUUUAUAAACAUAUUCAUGAUGAAGAUUAGAAAUAUUACCUGCAUGUUCAGAUACUUGCAUUUGAAGUGAGGUUGUGCCUUGGGAUGCAACAAAAGCCUCCUCAGAUUGGUGUGCCUCAACUAGUCUCCAAAUUGCCUUCUGGGUUGAUGCCCCAGAUCCACUAUUUUUCAUAGUUGAUUGCUAUGUAGUAGCAGAUGUCUCUAAAGCCGAUUAUCAACAAUUAAAGCCUUCAUCUGAGGUGGAGAGGUGGAUCCCAAAAAAUUAGUUGUCUUAGAAUUCUUUAUUGGUGAUCGCUUACGCUUCUCCUUGGUAGGCUGACUUGUCAUCUCAGGAAAGAUUGCCACAAUCUUCAUAUUCUAGACUUUAACCCCUUGAUCAAACUAAACCAUUAUCAAAGGCUCGAACCUAGAAUUGGAAGACUAGUUAACCAUUGAAACAUUCUGAUCUAUUGAAACAACCUACUGAGGGGUUUUACGAUUCUUCCUUUGUUGUUUCCAAUUCUCUUGAGUCUUUGUUGGAGAUGAGUUAGGAGAUCUUUUUGCUUCAGCUUGCUGAACAUAAGGAACCAGUAUUCUUGCAGCCUGAAUCCAUGAUCCAUACACAGGUUUAGCCUCAACCAUAACCACUUCUGGACAUCCAUAAGACUCCACCACAAGAGUAACACAUCCAAUAGUUCUUCAUAUGUAAAUUGUUGCCAAACAAAAUGAUUGGCCAUACGAACCUUAGCCUCAAGGUAUAUAUGUUGAGUAAUAUUCAACAAAAUACAAACUCUAGCAAAUCCCAUACGCAAAGAAGUCUCUGUCCAUUCAUCCAACAAGAAUGGUUUUCCAACUAGAGAUGCAAUCUGAAGGAUAUUCUCUGGCUCCUAUAACUCUAGUGGUAAAUCAAAAAGAUGAAGCCACACCCUAGCCUCCUUAAGGACAUCCUUCUCUGACCAAAAAUUUAGCCUCCAACCCUCCAUAGCCAACAAUCGGCCUACCAGGGACCACGGUCUUUUGGCUAAAACACGCUUCUUAACCUCCUUUGAAUGAAGCUCAAAAAGUAACAAUCCAUUCGAGAGUGGAGAUACAUAAAAAUCAUCCUCCACACGCCAUCUAACCCUUAUCUCUCAUUGGACAAAAUCCAGAGGAAACCCUCUACCCAAAAACUUAUCUAGAAUAGCUGUUUUCCACCUCUAAGAAGAUUGAGCUAUUUCUUCCAUCUAGAAAACAACUAUCUGAUGAAAGUAGGAUUCAGAGCAGCAACCCCUUCCUUCAUCACCUUUGAUAUUUCUCACCAGAAUCUAUGAAUUCCUUGGACCACUUGGGCCCAAGACCUCCUGAAGUUUGAUGCCUGUGAAGUUGGCUUGUAGGCAAAUCUCUUUGGAGAUGAGUCGUUCGCUUUCUUUGUUGGUACUUCGGAGCUUUGGCCUCCUACAAUGAGGAUCCCCCCACCGAAGAAGAACCAGUAUGAUCAAGUCUGACUGAACUCUCAUCCACCGAUGAAGGAGUAAAAAUCCUUUCUAUCGAUUCCUUUCUAGAGAUGACCUUAUCGCCUCCUUAGCCAUUAGGUCC
rnacentral:lncRNA from 1 species